rnacentral:rRNA from 1 species
AAUUCGCCCUUAGAGUUUGAUCCUGGCUCAGAUUGAACGCUGGCGGCAUGCCUUACACAUGCAAGUCGAACGGUAACGCGGGGCAACCUGGCGACGAGUGGCGAACGGGUGAGUAAUAUAUCGGAACGUGCCCAGUCGUGGGGGAUAACUGCUCGAAAGAGCAGCUAAUACCGCAUACGACCUGAGGGUGAAAGCGGGGGAUCUUCGGACCUCGCGCGAUUGGAGCGGCCGAUAUCAGAUUAGGUAGUUGGUGGGGUAAAGGCCUACCAAGCCGACGAUCUGUAGCUGGUCUGAGAGGACGACCAGCCACACUGGGACUGAGACACGGCCCAGACUCCUACGGGAGGCAGCAGUGGGGAAUUUUGGACAAUGGGGGCAACCCUGAUCCAGCCAUGCCGCGUGCGGGAAGAAGGCCCUCGGGUUGUAAACCGCUUUUGUCAGGGAAGAAAUCCUUUGGGCUAAUAACUCGGAGGGAUGACGGUACC